ensembl:lncRNA
UCUGUGGUCAUGGCAUGUGGUCAAAGCUCAAAAGACUGGUCUUCGUUGCGGCACCCAGGAUCUUCACUGUGGCAAGGCUCGCAGGCUUCUCUCUAGUUUUGGUGUGAGGGCUCAGUAGGUGCUUUUGGCCCUUCUUACAGUGGAAAUUCCCAGAGGGAAGGAGGGACAGGAUUGGCAGAUGAUGAGGGUCCCUAAAACCCAGCACACUGGUGUACACAGUUUGUAUGAACCCCCUGGCCCAUCGAAGGGCCUCCCCUAAGUGCUCAUGGCAGCUUCAGGAUGGCAGCAAGUCCAUUUCAUGGAUGAGAAGACCAUGGCCCAGGGUGCUGAAGGCAUUCGCCUAUGGUCACCCAGCUAGAUUGUGCCAAGACUGGAGCCCAGGCCUGGCUGGUUCCAGGUCAGCCUUUUCUAUUGCUCCUGGAGGCACCCCAGCAGCAUCCACCUGACCAGCUCCUCGUCCGGACAAAGCAAAUGAGCUCCCAGAACUGAGAACCUGGUUUUACAUCUGUGCAGCUCCUAUUACAUGGGAUUCAAAUUCAGCUGCUGCCACCCAAGCUGCCAGCUUCCGGAUUCUCUGAGAGGAAGGCUGGGGAGCCGAGGGAGGCGGGCAUAUGUCUUAGUCUGUUUGGGCU